rnacentral:rRNA from 1 species
CGCAAGCCUGACGGAGCAAGACCGCGUGUGGGAUGACGGCCUAAUGGUUGUAAACCGCUUUUCUCUGGGAAGAUGAUGACGGUACCAGAGGAAUCAGCCUCGGCUAACUCCGUGCCAGCAGCCGCGGUAAUACGGAGGAGGCAAGCGUUAUCCGGAAUUAUUGGGCGUAAAGCGUCCGUAGGUGGUUAUUCAAGUCUGCUGUCAAAGCGUGGGGCUUAACUCCAUAGAGGCAGUGGAAACUGGUUGACUAGAGUGCGGUAGGGGUCGAGGGAAUUCCCAGUGUAGCGGUGAAAUGCGUAGAUAUUGGGAAGAACACCAGUGGCGAAAGCGCUCGACUGGGCCUGCACUGACACUGAGGGACGAAAGCUAGGGGAGCG